UACACAUGUUCAGGUCUGUGAAUUUUCCUCUUUAAAACUGGGUAUGGGUAAACAGCUAAACUAAAUUUGGAAAGACACAUUAAAGAUGCAUUCUUAGGUUUUCAUGUGGUCUUUGAUGUAGAGUGUCCAGACAGUUUUAAAGCUGUAGAAGAAACAUUUAAUUAGGCUGGAUUCCUUGAAGGCAGAGCCAAUAAAUUAAUAAAAAAAAAAACAGGAAAAAAAAGACAGCAAAUAUCAUAAACUAAAGCAAUAGAAAAAGUUAAAUACUUGAGUUAAAUACUAUGAGAUAUACUUGGAUGUUUCAGAUCAUCACAUACAAUUUAUAGACAAAUAUAACCUGAAUAAAUAUUAUAAAGCAGUUUCACUUAUUACCGGAAACAUAAUAACAAGAGAGCCAGAGCUGGAUCUAAGGGAAAAGUAAUAACGCCCAAACCAAAUAAUUGGUUUUCACACCCCAGGCAUUAACAACUGCCAGGUGUUUGCCAUUACUGACAACAAGUGAAGUGAGACCUGUAGAGCUUCUGAUGAUGUUCUGGGUUUUUCAUUUUUUAAAUCACCUGGAAUUGUGAGUGACGCUCUGAUGGAUUUCAGUUUGGUAAACCAGCCACUCUCGGGAAAGUUAAUCGCUGCUCAAAGUUUGUGUACAGAAAUCUCUUUGUAGGCCUAUGCAGACUCAUAGAUGCCGAUUACUUUGGAUCUCAUCUGUUUUCAAAUCACUUUAGAUAGUGGCAUGGUUAUCUCUCGUGUUUAAGGAGAGAUCAGACUGCCAUAAAGCAACACUCUGGGUCACAUGAGUUAUUGAGUGAUGGAUCCGACCAUCUCAAGUAAAAUAGGUGCAUUUUGGAGAACAGUAGCCCAAAUGGAACAUCGAUACGAAAAUAAUUUAAUAUCUCUCAAAUUAAGUUGUUGCUUGGGUUAAGAGUUACGCAGUAUAAAUUCACAGAGUAACUGUGUUUGAUGUUGAAAAGUUCCUUUACUAGAAUAUCUGGUGUUUUUCCUCAGAACUCAAUUGAAAGACAUAUGUCUUAGAAACGUUUAAUACAAACUAAUUUUAAGCAGAGAACGACAAGAAAUCAGUCAGGUUUCCCCUCAGUUAGAUUGCUUAUGAGGGCAUUUACCAUGGUAGCAUGUUAACACAGAGGGUAUUUCCGCCCUUUCCCUGACCUGCAUUUAGCUUCAUCUCUUUUCCCACUGGCAGAGGACAAAUGCUCGUUCUUUCAAAGGCAAAGGUUGUAUUGAGUUUCAGGUUUUAUUGAUGGAGCCUCUAAGGGAGAAAGGGUCUGUUACAGCUUCUCUCUCAGCUGGACAAUGAGACCCUGUUCUAGCUGCAAAAAGCCUGAAAAAAGCCAGCAGAGGACUGGGAACUGGGCUCCCCCAGGAGCGUGAGACUAUCUUUGUUUUGUCAACCUUCAGGUUUGGAGGAUUCGAAAUUGGAAAAGGCUGCAUGUUUUACGGAUUCAAUUUGCAUUUCAUUUUUUUUUUCUUCUAGUUCAACUACCUGGAAAGCAACAUUUAGGCUAGUUCAGAGAAAACAAAAGGGCUGAUAAAGAACUGGCAUAGCGUUUGGUUUUAAAAUAAAACUCGCAUCCCGUGGACAGAUGUGACAGGAAGACAUAACGCUAACAAAUGAUGGCAAUAAACAGUAGGAAAAACAGUUGUGAAACUGUGGGGGAGCCAGAAGCCGAAGAAAAAAAGAAAAGAUUCUCCACAGUUACCAUGACAGGCACAAUGUGUUCACAAACAACAUAGAAUGACAGUGACUAUGAGCAGAUAAAGUUAAGCUUCUAUAAAUAUCCUGUUAGUAUAAUACUUUCUCUGACCUAAGAAAAAAAAUAUAAUAAUAAUAAUACACCCCUCACCUCAAGGUGCUUGAUCUCACUUGGAUACAGUAAUUACCACAGUGUUAAAGAAGGCUUCAGGAUAAAUGAUAAUGUCAGGUUUACUUAAACAACUUCAGCAGUUCUAAUUUGUCCAUUUACUGAGUGUAUUCUGUUACUGUUCUCUAGAGUUAUCUUUAGGUGAUUUAUUUCACCCUUAAGCACUUCAUAUCCAGGCUAAGGAAGCAACAUUCAAGCUGCAAGGCCAGGUUAUUGAAUUCAUUAAUAAUUACGGUUUGAAAUAUGACGUAGCACACAUUGAAAUUAAAAUUUUGAUGUAUCUCUUGAUAGAAACAAUUUAACACCCCAAACUAAAUAAGGGAUUUAUAUAUGUUUAAAAACCACCAACCCAAAUACUUGUUGACAGCAUUUAUCGCAGAAUUGAUCAUAAUACUGUUCAUAAAUCUGUUGAUCACUAAAAAGAUGGGUUUUCUGUAUAUUUCCUGAACAGAAUUUUUUUGUUUGUUUGUUUGUUUGAUUUUAACCUGGAGAUCAAGAAGAUAUGUCAAAAUUUGCAUAUAUAAUGUGAAUAGCCAAUUACCAACUUAUAUUUUCUGUUGGAUGAUAAAAGUUACUUUUUUUUAUUUGUCACCAAAGUACAUCCUUCUGUGGCAGAUGCACACAGUUGUACUUAUGGCAAGGAGUAAGCUUUUCAAACAGAUUUUAAUGGUAUAAGAAAACAUACAAUUGUGAUUUAUUUCAAAAUGUUAUAAUCAUAGUUGAUAUAUGGGGAGUGGUGGCCUAGUGGCUAGGAAUAGGACAUAGGGCUUGGAAUCUUGCGGUUGUGAGUUUGAAACCCACUCCCAUAGCCUGCCACUCUGGGCCCCUGAGCAAGGACCCUUAACCCCACACUGCUCCCUGGGUGCUGCAAAUGGCAUUCCACUGCUCCCCAAUGGGAUGGGUGAAAUGUAGAGAUUAAUUUAGUUGCGCUCUAUUUGUGACAGUGUAAUGACAAUAAACGCUG